rfam:Acinetobacter radioresistens SK82 contig00027, whole genome shotgun sequence.
CAGUUUCUACCUGCUGCGGACAAAUCCAGUGAAUAUGCGUAUCAACUCCCCCUGCAGUCAGAAUCUGCCCUUCACCUGCGAUCACUUCAGUUGCUGCUCCUAAAGGAAUAGUAAUGUUGGGUUGAAUAUCCGGGUUACCAGCCUUACCAAUUUUCCAGAUCCGGCCAUUUUUUAGACCGACAUCAGCCUUAAUAAUUCCCCACCAGUCGACAAUUAACGCAUUAGUAAUUAUGGUAUCGGCCACCUCCUCUGCUAGCAGCUGCGAUUGCCCCAUUCCAUCACGA